GAAAUAAGUCCUGCUUUAGCUUUGAUUCCUCAAGAUUCAAAUCUGUCUUUUCAUCUACAGUUGUUUUCAAGCUUCUGUUUAAAUGUUUCUCUCCCAGUGAAAUACCUAACUGUCACUAUCUUGCCUAGGGCACUGACCCCAAGGACAGUCCGACUUUCUAAAGAUUUUGCCACUGCUGGAGGAGCAGUAGGACCCUUCAACCUUAUGCUCCAAGAGGCCAGGUGGGGACCAGAAGUGGUUUCCGAGCAUGUGGUUAGAGUUCGUGGGAAGAGGAGGAGAAGGAAGGUCAAAGACACUGGAGGAUGUGGCAGCAGCCAAGCAACACGAAGGCUGUCACCGCUCCUGAAACGUCCUGUUUGGAACCACGGAGCCUGUCCCUGCCUGACAGCCCCCCACGCCAUUUCCAGACAUGCCAGAUGGCCUUGCUGACCUGCAUCCACUCAGUUGGAGCAGAAUGAGUCCCGUGUUGGCUUUGGGAGUACAUCAUGAGAAACGCUGGACUGGAAGAAGCACAAGCUGGAAUCAAGAUUGCUC
ensembl:lncRNA